GUGCUUGCUUCGGCAGCACAUAUACUAAAAUUGGAACGAUACAGGUCAGCAUGGCCCCUGCGCAAAGGA
rnacentral:snRNA from 1 species